rnacentral:rRNA from 1 species
GAGCGAGAACGGCACGCAGGCGGGCGACGCGCCGAGCGCGUCGCGGCCGAUCGCGGCCGCCAUCGCAGCCUGCACCGCCGCGUCGAGCAAGCCGGGCGGCAGCCGGUGGCGCUCGCGCGC